rnacentral:rRNA from 1 species
GACGAACCGUGCGAACGUUGUUCGGAAUCACUGGGCUUAAAGGGCGCGUAGGCGGGCCGCCGCGUCCGGGGUGAAAUCCCCCCGCUCAACGGGGGAACGGCCUCGGAUACGGGCGGCCUGGAGGCGGGUAGGGGCACGCGGAACUGUGGGUGGAGCGGUGAAAUGCGUUGAGAUCCACAGGAACUCCGGUGGCGAAGGCGGCGUGCUGGACCCGGUCUGACGCUGAGGCGCGAAAGCCAGGGGAGCGAACGGG